UACGUAGGGUGCAAGCGUUGUCCGGAAUUAUUGGGCGUAAAGAGCUCGUAGGCGGUCUGUCGCGUCUGCUGUGAAAACUCGGGGCUUAACCCCGGGCCUGCAGUGGGUACGGGCAGACUAGAGUGCGGUAGGGGAGACUGGAAUUCCUGGUGUAGCGGUGAAAUGCGCAGAUAUCAGGAGGAACACCGGUGGCGAAGGCGGGUCUCUGGGCCGUAACUGACGCUGAGGCGCGAAAAGCUAGGGGGAGCGAACGGG
rnacentral:rRNA from 1 species